GACGAACGCUGGCGGCGUGCCUAAUACAUGCAAGUCGAACGCACAGUUUAUACCGUAGCUUGCUACACCAUAGACUGUGAGUUGCGAACGGGUGAGUAACGCGUAGGUAACCUGCCUGGUAUCGGGUGAUAACUAUUGGAAACGAUAGCUAAUACCGCAUAAUAUUGAUUAUUGCAUGAUAAUUAAUUGAAAGGUGCAAUUGCACCACUACCAGAUGGACCUGCGUUGUAUUAGCUAGUAGGUGAGGUAACGGCUCACCUAGGCGACGAUACAUAGCCGACCUGAGAGGGUGAUCGGCCAAACUGGGACUGAGACACGGCCCAGACUCCUACGGGAGGCAGCAGUAGGGAAUCUUCGGCAAUGGACGAAAGUCUGACCGAGAAACGCCGAGGGAGUGAAGAAGGGUUUCGGAUCGUAAAGAUCUGUUGUAAGAGAAGAACGGGUGUGAGAGUGGAAAGUUCACACUGUGACGGUAUCUUAUCAGAAAGGGACGGCUAACUACGUG
rnacentral:rRNA from 1 species